GACGUAGGGCGCGAGCGUUGUCCGGAUUUAUUGGGCGUAAAGAGCUCGUAGGCGGCUUGUCGCGUCGGCUGUGAAAACCCGCGGCUCAACUGUGGGCGGGCAGCUGAUACGGGCAGGCUGGAGUUCGGUAGGGGAGAGUGGAAUUCCUGGUGUAGCGGUGAAAUGCGCAGAUAUCAGGAGGAACACCGGUGGCGAAGGCGGGUCUCUGGGCCGAUACUGACGCUGAGGAGCGAAAGCGCGGGGAGCGAACAGG
rnacentral:rRNA from 1 species